GUGGGUAUAGUUCAAUCGGUAGAGCGCCUGUAUGUGGCACAGUAUGUUCCCUGUUCGAAUCAGGGUACUCACC
rnacentral:tRNA from 1 species